CCUACGGGUGACUGCAGUCGAGAAUCAUUCACAAUGGGGGAAACCCUGAUGGUGUGACGCCGCGUGGGGGAAUGAAGGUCUUCGGAUUGUAAACCCCUGUCAUGUGGGAGCAAAUUAAAAAGAUAGUACCACAAGAGGAAGAGACGGCUAACUCUGUGCCAGCAGCCGCGGUAAUAAAGAGGUCUCAAGCGUUGUUCGGAAUCACUGGGCGUAAGGCGUGCGUAGGCUGUUUCGUAAGUCGUGUGUGAAAGGCGCGGGCUCAACCCGCGGACGGCACAUGAUACUGCGAGACUAGAGUAAUGGAGGGGGAACCGGAAUUCUCGGUGUAGCAGUGAAAUGCGUAGAUAUCGAGAGGAACACUCGUGGCGAAGGCGGGUUCCUGGACAUUAACUGACGCUGAGGCACGAAGGCCAGGGGAGCGAAAGGGAUUAGAUACCCCAGUAGUC
rnacentral:rRNA from 1 species